rnacentral:rRNA from 1 species
GAUGAACGCUGGCGGCAUGCCUAAUACAUGCAAGUCGAACGAGAGGAAGGAAAGCUUGCUUUCCUGAAUCUAGUGGCGAACGGGUGAGUAACACGUAGGUAACCUGCCCAUGUGCCCGGGAUAACUUCUGGAAACGGAUGCUAAAACCGGAUAGGUAGCAGACAAGCAUUUGACUGCUAUUAAAGUGGCCUUGGCCAUGAACAUGGAUGGACCUGCGGUGCAUUAGCUAGUUGGUGAGGUAACGGCCCACCAAGGGGACGAUGCAUAGCCGGCCUAAGAGGGCCGACGGCCACAUUGGGACUGAGACACGGCCCAAACUCCUACGGGAGGAAGCAGUAGGGAAUUUUCGUCAAUGGGGGGAACCCUGAACGAGCAAUGCCGCGUGAGUGAGGAAGGUCUUCGGAUCGUAAAGCUCUGUUGUAAGAGAAAAACGGCACUCAUAGGGAAUGAUGAGUGAGUGAUGGUAUCUUACCAGAAAGUCACGGCUAACUACGUGCCAGCAGCCGCCGUAA